rnacentral:ncRNA from 2 species
UACUUUCGUCAUGCAUUCGGUUCACGUUUGUGAUUAAUAGGGAAUCCGGUGAAAAUCCGGGACUAUACCCGUAGCUGUAAGCUUUUUUUGUUUUUCGAUCAAGAGAUCCACUGUCGGCUAACCGAUGGGAAGGAGGUCGAAAAUAGCGAGUCAGAAGACCUGCCGAUUGCGAUAUAUCCGU